rnacentral:rRNA from 1 species
AGAGUUUGAUCCUGGCUCAGGAUGAACGCUGGCGGCGUGCUUAAUACAUGCAAGUCGAACGAAGCUCUUUUUCUUCGGAUGAAGAGUCUUAGUGGCGAACGGGUGCGUAACGCGUUGGUAACCUGCCCCAAAGAGGGGGAUAACAGUUCGAAAGGACUGCUAACACCCCAUGUGAUCAUCAGGAUUAGAUGCUUGAUGAUGAAAGGAGUAAUCCGCUUUGGGAGGGGCCUGCGUCCCAUCAGCUUGUUGGUAGGGUAAUGGCCUACCAAGGCUCUGACGGGUAGGGGACCUGAGAGGGUGGCCCCCCACACUGGCACUGAAAUACGGGCCAGACACCUACGGGUGGCAGCAGUAGGGAAUAUUGGACAAUGGGCGAAAGCCUGAUCCAGCAACGCCGCGUGCACGAUGACGGCCUUCGGGUUGUAAAGUGCUUUUAGGAGAGAUGAGAAAGGACAGUAUCUCCUGAAUAAGCCUCGGCGAACUACGUGCCAGCAGCCGCGGUAAAACGUAGGAGGCGAGCGUUAUCCGGAUUUAUUGGGCGUAAAGCGCGUGCAGGCGGUUUGGAAAGUUGGAUGUGAAAGCUCCUGGCUUAACUGGGAGAGGUCGUUCAAAACUACCAGACUAGAGAAUGGGAGAGGGAAGUGGAAUUCCGGGUGUAGUGGUGAAAUGCGUAGAUAUCCGGAGGAACACCAGUGGCGAAAGCGGCUUCCUGGACCAUUUCUGACGCUAAGACGCGAAAGCUAGGGGAGCGAACGGGAUUAGAGACCCCGGUAGUCCUAGCUGUAAACGAUGUAGACUUGGCGUUGGCGGAGUUAAAUCUGCCAGUGCCGGAGCUAACGCGUUAAGUCUACCGCCUGGGGACUACGACCGCAAGGUUAAAACUCAAAGGAAUUGACGG